rnacentral:rRNA from 1 species
UCCUACGGGGGGCAGCAGUGAGGAAUAUUGGUCAAUGGCCGAGAGGCUGAACCAGCCAAGUCGCGUGAGGGAAGAAUGUCCUAUGGAUUGUAAACCUCUUUUGUCAGGGAGCAAAGUCACCCACGUGUGGGUGUUGGAGAGUACCUGAAGAAAAAGCAUCGGCUAACUCCGUGCCAGCAGCCGCGGUAAUACGGAGGAUGCGAGCGUUAUCCGGAUUUAUUGGGUUUAAAGGGUGCGCAGGCGGCACGGCAAGCCGGCGGUCAAAUCGCGGGGCUCAACCCCGCCCAGCCGUCGGAACUGCCGGG